AACCAACAGGGAUUGCCUCAGUAACGGCGAGCGAAGCGGCAAGCGCUCAGAUUUGAAAUCUGGCUCCUCCGGGGCCCGAGUUGUAAUCUGUAGGGGAUGCUUCGGAGUCGAGCCCGGCCUAAGUUCCUUGGAACAGGACGUCGCAGAGGGUGAGAAUCCCGUACGCGGCCGGUGGGCGCCUCCGUGCGAAGCUCCUCCGACGAGUCGAGUUGUUUGGGAAUGCAGCUCUAAAUGGGAGGUAAAUUUCUUCUAAAGCUAAAUACCGGCCAGAGACCGAUAGCGCACAAGUAGAGUGAUCGAAAGAUGAAAAGCACUUUGGAAAGAGAGUUAAAAAGUACGUGAAAUUGUUGAAAGGGAAGCGCUUGCGACCAGACUCGGCCGCUUCGGUUCAACCCUACCUGCGUAGGGCUCACUCCGUUGCGGUCGGGCCAGCAUCGGUUCGGGCGGCCGUUCAAAGGCGUCGGGAAUGUGGCUCCCCUCGGGGAGUGUUAUAGCCCCUCGCGCAAUGCGGCCCGCCUGGACCGAGGACCGCGCUCCGGCAAGGAUGCUGGCGUAAUGGUUGCAAGCGGCCCGUCUUGAAACACGGACCAAGGAGUCUAACAUCUAUGCGAGUGUUCGGGUGUCAAACCCCUGCGCGCAAUGAAAGUGAACGGAGGUCGGAGCCCUCGGGCGCACGAUCGACCGAUCCUGAUGUCUUCGGAUGGAUUUGAGUAAGAGCAUAAAUGUUGGGACCCGAAAGAUGUGCGAACUAUGCUUGAGUAGGCCGAAGCCAGCGGAAACGCUGGUGGAGGGUCGCAGCGGUUCUGACGUGCAAAUCGAUCGUCAAACUUGAGUAUAGGGGCGAAAGACUAAUCGAGCCAUCUA
rnacentral:rRNA from 1 species